AUCCUUUUCUGGUUCAUAAGCAUGAUGAUUGGGUUUUCAUGCAUUUGUGUGACAUGUGCCUCCCAUAAACCUUGUUAUGACCUCGGCACAUUACCUAUCUGACA
rnacentral:ncRNA from 15 species